rnacentral:rRNA from 1 species
UACGGAGGGUGCAAGCGUUAUCCGGAAUCACUGGGUUUAAAGGGUGCGUAGGCGGUUCGAUAAGUCAGUUGUGAAAUCUCUUGGCUUAACCAAUGAAAUUGCGAUUGAUACUGUUGGACUUGAAUCAGGUUGAGGUAGGCGGAAUGUGGCAUGUAGCGGUGAAAUGCAUAGAUAUGCCAUAGAACACCGAUUGCGAAGGCAGCUUGCUGGACCUAGAUUGACGCUGAGGCACGAAAGCGUGGGGAGCAAACAGG